rnacentral:misc_RNA from 1 species
UGGGCUUGACAUGCGCCGGAUCGCCUCAGAGAUGGGGUUUCCCUUGUGGCCGGUGUGCAGGUGGUGCAUGGCUGUCGUCAGCUCGUGUCGUGAGAUGUUGGGUUAAGUCCCGCAACGAGCGCAACCCUUAUCCUAUGUUGCCAGCACGUGAUGGUGGGGACUCGUGGGAGACUGCCGGGGUCAACUCGGAGGAAGGUGGGGAUGACGUGCCAGUAUCGGAA